AAAUAUGAAGCAAUAUAUUUGCAUUUAAUUUCGACUUAAAAGUUAGAGUUUUCUCCUUAUUUA
rnacentral:tRNA from 1 species